GACGAACGCUGGCGGCGUGCCUAAUACAUGCAAGUCGAACGCAGUGGGGACGGGUGAGUAACACGUGGGUAACCUCCCAUCAGAGGGGAUAACACUUGGAAACAGGUGCUAAACCGAUACUGAUGGAUGGACCCGCGGUGCAUUAGCUAGUUGGUGAGGUAACGGCUCAACAAGGCCACGAUGCAUACAGUACCUGGGAGGGUGAGCUGCCACACGGGGACUGAGAUACGGCCCAGACGCCUACGGGAGGCAGCAGUAGGGAAUCUUCGGCAAUGGACGAAAGUCUGACCGAUCAACGCCGCGUGAGUGUAGAAGGUUUUCGGAUGGUAAAACUCUGUUGUUAGAGAAGCGGUAUCUAACCAGAAAGCCACGGCUAACUACGUGCCAGCAGCCGCGGUAAUUC
rnacentral:rRNA from 1 species